GCAGGGAGGGCCGCGGCGGCCUCGGGAGUCCCUCUCCCAGGCAGUUUCCUCUUUUGCAGAACAAGGUAAUGACGCCCACCUAGAGUCCCAGUCUGUGAGUCCUGGUGGGUGCCAGGGCCCCCGGCACAGCACCCUUCGCACGGGAGCGCCCGGCUGUCACAGGGGCCGAAUCUCACGAGCUCGGUCACUUAGGACAAUGUAGACGCCCUUUCUGGGAGGCCGGGGCUCAGUUCAGAGAGGUCGAGGUGGCGCGGUGCAGCGGUGCUCUCCUGCAGG
rnacentral:lncRNA from 1 species